UACGUAGGGUGCAAGCGUUGUCCGGAAUUAUUGGGCGUAAAGAGCUCGUAGGCGGUUUGUCGCGUCUGGUGUGAAAACUCGGGGCUUAACCCCGGGCCUGCAGUGGGUACGGGCAGACUAGAGUGCGGUAGGGGAGACUGGAAUUCCUGGUGUAGCGGUGAAAUGCGCAGAUAUCAGGAGGAACACCGGUGGCGAAGGCGGGUCUCUGGGCAACUACUGACGCUGAGGAGCGAAAGCGUGGGGAGCGAACAGG
rnacentral:rRNA from 1 species